rnacentral:rRNA from 1 species
GACGUAGGGCGCGAGCGUUGUCCGGAUUUAUUGGGCGUAAAGAGCUCGUAGGCGGCUUGUCGCGUCGUCUGUGAAAUCCCACGGCUCAACUGUGGGCUUGCAGUCGAUACGGGCAGGCUGGAGUUCGGUAGGGGAGCAUGGAAUUCCUGGUGUAGCGGUGAAAUGCGUAGAUAUCUGGAGGAACAUCGGUGGCGAAGGCGGCAUCCUGGACCGGUAUUGACGCUGAGGCGCGAAAGCCAGGGGAGCAAACGGG